AAGCCAGUGGUGAACUCCACAUACGCAUCCUUUGCUGAGGAUACGGUUAACGGAGCGAAAGCGACGUUCAACCUCAAAAGAAGCAGAGGGGGCUUAGUGGUGGGGUGACUGCGUACCUUUUGUAUAAUGGGUCAGCGACUUAUAUUCUGUAGCAAGGUUAACCGCAUAGGGGAGCCGUAGGGAAACCGAGUCUUAACCGGGCGUUAAGUUGCAGGGUAUAGACCCGAAACCCGGUGAUCUAGCCAUGGGCAGGUUGAAGGUUGGGUAACACUAACUGGAGGACCGAACCGACUAAUGUUGAAAAAUUAGCGGAUGACCUGUGGCUGGGGGUGAAAGGCCAAUCAAACCGGGAGAUAGCUGGUUCUCCCCGAAAGCUAUUUAGGUAGCGCCUCGUGAACUCAUCUCCGGGGGUAGAGCACUGUUUCGGCUAGGGGGCCAUCCCGGCUUACCAACCCGAUGCAAACUGCGAAUACCGAAGAAUGUUAUCACGGGAGACACACGGCGGGUGCUAACGUCCGUCGUGAAGAGGGAAACAACCCAGACCGCCAGCUAAGGUCCCAAAGUCAUGGUUAAGUGGGAAACGAUGUGGGAAGGCACAGACAGCCAGGAUGUUGGCUUAGAAGCAGCCAUCAUUUAAAGAAAGCGUAAUAGCUCACUGGUCGAGUCGGCCUGCGCGGAAGAUGUAACGGGGCUAAACCAUGCACCGAAGCUGCGGCAGCGACACUAUGUGUUGUUGGGUAGGGGAGCGUUCUGUAAGCCGUUGAAGGUGUCCUGUGAGGGAUGCUGGAGGUAUCAGAAGUGCGAAUGCUGACAUAAGUAACGAUAAUGCGGGUGAAAAACCCGCACGCCGGAAGACCAAGGGUUCCUGUCCAACGUUAAUCGGGGCAGGGUGAGUCGACCCCUAAGGCGAGGCCGAAAGGCGUAGUCGAUGGGAAACAGGUUAAUAUUCCUGUACUUGGUGUUACUGCGAAGGGGGGACGGAGAAGGCUAUGUUGGCCGGGCGACGGUUGUCCCGGUUUAAGCGUGUAGGUGUGUGUUCCAGGUAAAUCCGGUUCACUUUAACACUGAGGCGUGAUGACGAGGCACUACGGUGCUGAAGUGACAAAUGCCCUGCUUCCAGGAAAAGCCUCUAAGCAUCAGGUAACACGAAAUCGUACCCCAAACCGACACAGGUGGUCAGGUAGAGAAUACCAAGGCGCUUGAGAGAACUCGGGUGAAGGAACUAGGCAAAAUGGUGCCGUAACUUCGGGAGAAGGCACGCUGAUAUGUAGGUGAAGCGGUUUACCCGUGGAGCUGAAAUCAGUCGAAGAUACCAGCUGGCUGCAACUGUUUAUUAAAAACACAGCACUGUGCAAACACGAAAGUGGACGUAUACGGUGUGACGCCUGCCCGGUGCCGGAAGGUUAAUUGAUGGGGUUAUCCGUAAGGAGAAGCUCUUGAUCGAAGCCCCGGUAAACGGCGGCCGUAACUAUAACGGUCCUAAGGUAGCGAAAUUCCUUGUCGGGUAAGUUCCGACCUGCACGAAUGGCGUAAUGAUGGCCAGGCUGUCUCCACCCGAGACUCAGUGAAAUUGAACUCGCUGUGAAGAUGCAGUGUACCCGCGGCAAGACGGAAAGACCCCGUGAACCUUUACUAUAGCUUGACACUGAACACUGGUCCUUGAUGUGUAGGAUAGGUGGGAGGCUUUGAAGUGUGGACGCCAGUCUGCAUGGAGCCAUCCUUGAAAUACCACCCUUUAAUGGCUGGUGUUCUAACGUGGGCCCCUAAUCGGGGUUGCGGACAGUGUCUGGUGGGUAGUUUGACUGGGGCGGUCUCCUCCCAAAGAGUAACGGAGGAGCACGAAGGUUAGCUAAUCCUGGUCGGACAUCAGGAGGUUAGUGCAAAGGCAUAAGCUAGCUUGACUGCGAGAGUGACGGCUCGAGCAGGUGCGAAAGCAGGUC
rnacentral:rRNA from 1 species